rnacentral:rRNA from 1 species
GAGAGUUUGAUUCUGGCUCAGGACGAACGCUGGCGGCGUGCCUAACACAUGCAAGUCGAGCGAGGAGAUUCCCUUCGGGGAUGAACCUAGCGGCGGACGGGUGAGUAACACGUGGGCAACCUGCCUUAUAGAGGGGAAUAGCCUUCCGAAAGGAAGAUUAAUACCGCAUAACAUUACAUUUUCGCAUGAAGAAGUAAUUAAAGGAGUAAUCCGCUAUAAGAUGGGCCCGCGGCGCAUUAGCUAGUUGGUGAGGUAACGGCUCACCAAGGCGACGAUGCGUAGCCGACCUGAGAGGGUGAUCGGCCACAUUGGGACUGAGACACGGCCCAGACUCCUACGGGAGGCAGCAGUGGGGAAUAUUGCACAAUGGGGGAAACCCUGAUGCAGCAACGCCGCGUGAGUGAUGAAGGUCUUCGGAUCGUAAAGCUCUGUCUUCAGGGACGAUAAUGACGGUACCUGAGGAGGAAGCCACGGCUAACUACGUGCCAGCAGCCGCGGUAAUAC